UUCAAGCAAGCAACAAUGUUCAAGUUAAUUAUUUUCCAAAGCCAUUCUCAAGUCAGCACCUACACAGCUGUUAACGUGUGAUAUGCUUCCAUUUAUUACAAUUGUCUCCACAUCUGAACUUCAUCUGUUCGAAAAUAAAAGAUCUUAAAUUAGAAAUAUGAUUGAAAAUCAAAGCAGGAGUACAAGGCAUGUGAAAAACAGAGAUGGAAUCCUAGCCAUUUUUUUUUUGGUAUUCGCAUAUCCACCCAUUUUCUUCUUUCCUUUCCUUUUCACUGGAUCUCCCCCCGAUCUUUUGUACUCAUUUCAAUAUUUAGAGCAAUUCAUAUCCCCCUGUAUCUCUAUCUCCCCAUACAUUCUCGCCUACCACACACAUCCACUCUGUACUCUACUCUUACAUUUUUCUGUCUCCUUCUAUCUUUUUUCGGCAAUGUCAAUUUCAGGUUCAUGUCUUCUAAUAAUUGAAUUUCCCUUUGAGCACGUGAAUGUGUGUGGGGGAUAUUUGUAGAGUUAGAGAAUUGGAGCUGCUAGUUAAUCUAAGCAUGAAGAUCUAUUUUUGAAAUUCAGAAUUACACCACCAAUUUGAGAUUAGUCUAACAACCUCACAACUAGACGAGUUUCAGUCAAACGCGCCAAACAGAUGGAAAAUCAAUAAAAUUCACAAGAAAAUUGCAUCACAGACUAGUAUAUAAACUAACUCGCACCAUCUUCCGUUAAUAAAAUAAGAAGAGUAAGAGAUGAACCUGAAUGCGCAGAACUUUGGAUUAAUGCUGAAAGUGAAUACAAGCACAAGAAACAUAAGAACACACUUGAGAGGAAGAAAACAGCUGCUGCAAUUUGAGCUUCAACAGGAGCAAACACAGGAAAUGGACACCUCAAACGGCGACUUCCAACCGUGACAAACUGGAAUCAAUUAAACUCCAUAAUUAAGAAUCAAAAUCGAAGUUGGAAAGAGAGAUUAGAAAUAUUUUUUGUGUUAUUUUUCUUUUCUAAGAACUCAAAAUCAAAAGAAGAAAAAAAAAUCUUCAAAAUCUUGUUCUAUUUUCCUCUCUACUGUUUCGUUUCCUCUUUACUGCAUAUUACUAUUUUUUGCCAUUUUUCUUUUGUUCUCUCUUUGGGGUGUGUGUGUUGUCCAGAGAAAGAGAUGGAUGAAUCUCUGGGGAAAGGCAGGCGCUGCUCAAGGGUCUUUUUCUUGGGGUAAUCGGCGCUGGAAUUUUGGGAAUUAGGUUCUAGCUUUUUUUUUAGCUGCUGAUGCUUGCCUUUUGUGUUGAAGUCUUGAAGAUGGGGAAAAGGGGUCACGGCUGGGGUAUCCU
rnacentral:lncRNA from 1 species